UACAUUUUCUAUUUCUUUGUCUCCCCAUAUAUGGUAGGUAACACAUUAACAUGUAGUCUGAUUAAGCAGUCUCCGUUUACAAGGUCAUGAGGGAUGUUGUCACGCAGGCGGAUAGCCAGGUUACCUUGAAGUUUUCUCUCCCUUUUUUUCUCUCUCCUUAGGGAGGGGACCCUACCACAGGGGCAGCCUGCCCUGAAUCCCAUCAACCCAUAACAUUUAACUCUUAAAACAUAACUUAGUAAAUUGAUCAGAUUUGUUUUUUAAAAAAAAAGGAAAGAAAAAAACCCCUCUGAUUCUUCAGUCAAAACCAGCAAGUUUCCAGAAGUGCAUUACCUAUCACAAUAAUUUAGCAAUUUUAAGGUGAUGAUAAAACGAUGUGAUCGGCUAUAAAAACUCUGUACCCCGGCUGUUCGGGGCCGCACUCUUAUCAAGAGUGUUGGUCCCCUUCGGUCGGCCUUGCCUCUCAUUGUAAUAAACUUUGUUGUGACUGUCA